rnacentral:rRNA from 1 species
UACGUAGGGUCCGAGCGUUGUCCGGAAUUACUGGGCGUAAAGAGCUCGUAGGUGGUUUGUCGCGUUGUCCGUGAAAUUCCCUGGCUUAACUGGGGGGCGUGCGGGCGAUACGGGCAGACUGGAGUACUGCAGGGGAGACUGGAAUUCCUGGUGUAGCGGUGGAAUGCGCAGAUAUCAGGAGGAACACCGGUGGCGAAGGCGGUUCUCUGGGCAUGUUCUGACGGCUGAG